GACGAACGCUGGCGGCGUGCCUAAUACAUGCAAGUCGAGCGGACUGACUGGGAGCUUGCUCUUGUUCGGUCAGCGGCGGACGGGUGAGUAACACGUGGGCAACCUGCCCGCAAGACCGGGAUAACUCCGGGAAACCGGAGCUAAUACCGGAUAACACCGAAGACCGCAUGGUCUUUGGUUGAAAGGCGGCGCAAGCUGCCACUUGCGGAUGGGCCCGCGGCGCAUUAGCUAGUUGGUGAGGUAACGGCUCACCAAGGCGACGAUGCGUAGCCGGCCUGAGAGGGUGACCGGCCACACUGGGACUGAGACACGGCACAGACUCCUACGGGAGGGAGCAGUAGGGAAUCUUGCGCAAGGGGCGAAAGCCUGACGGAGCGACGCCGCGGGAGCGAAGAAGGCCGUCGGGUCGGAAAGCUCUGUUGUGAGGGACGAAGGAGCGCCGUUUGAAGAAGGCGGCGCGGUGACGGUACCUCACGAGGAAGCCCCGGCUAACUACGUG
rnacentral:rRNA from 1 species